GUGCUCUCUUUGGCAGCACAUAUACUAAAAAUGAUACAGAGAAGAUUCGCAUGGCCCCUGUGCAAGGAUGACACGCAAAUUCAUGAAGCGUUCCAUAUUUUU